rnacentral:tRNA from 1 species
GGUCGGGUGGCUGAGUGGUGAGGCGAGAGUUUGCAAAACUCUUUACAAUGGUUCGAUUCCAUUCCCGACCU